ensembl:snRNA U6 U6 spliceosomal RNA
AUGCUCCCUUCAGAAGCACGUACACUAAAACGGGAAUGACACAGAGAAAACUAGCAGGGCCUUUGCACAAGGAUGGCAUGCAAAUUCACAUAGCAUUCUACAUUUUA